CAGUCGCCGCGGUAAUACAGAGGGUGCGAGCGUUAAUCGGAUUUACUGGGCGUAAAGCGUGCGUAGGCGGCUUCUUAAGUCGGAUGUGAAAUCCCUGAGCUUAACUUAGGAAUUGCGUUCGAUACUGGGAAGCUAGAGUAUGGGAGAGGAUGGUAGAAUUCCAGGUGUAGCGGUGAAAUGCGUAGAGAUCUGGAGGAAUACCGAUGGCGAAGGCAGCCAUCUGGCCUAAUACUGACGCUGAGGUACGAAAGCAUGGGGAGCAAACAGGAUUAGAUACCCCCGUAGUCCCUGUCUCUUAUAC
rnacentral:rRNA from 1 species